rnacentral:rRNA from 1 species
GUCGAGAAUCUUUCACAAUGGGGGCAACCCUGAUGGAGCGACGCCGCGUGGAGGAUAAGGUCUUCGGAUUGUAAACUCCUGUCAUGCGUGAACAAGGUUGCUUGGUUAAUACCUGGGCAAAUUGAUGGUAACGCAAGAGGAAGAGACGGCUAACUCUGUGCCAGCAGCCGCGGUAAUACAGAGGUCUCAAGCGUUGUUCGGAAUCACUGGGCGGAAAGGGUGCGUAGGUGGCGUGGUAAGUCAGAUGUGAAAGCCCGGGGCUCAACCUCGGAACUGCAUCCGAUACUGCCAUGCUAGAGUACUGGAGAGGUGACUAGAAUUCUCGGUGUAGCAGUGAAAUGCGUAGAUAUCGAGAGGAAUACCAAAGGCGUAGGCAGGUCACUGGACAGUUACUGACACUGAGGCACGAAGGCCAGGGGAGCGAACGGGAUUAGAAACCCGUGUAGUCC